rnacentral:rRNA from 1 species
GCUUGCUCCCGGAUGUUAGCGGCGGACGGGUGAGUAACACGUGGGUAACCUGCCUGUAAGACUGGGAUAACUCCGGGAAACCGGAGCUAAUACCGGAUAGUUCCUUGAACCGCAUGGUUCAAGGAUGAAAGACGGUUUCGGCUGUCACUUACAGAUGGACCCGCGGCGCAUUAGCUAGUUGGUGGGGUAAUGGCUCACCAAGGCGACGAUGCGUAGCCGACCUGAGAGGGUGAUCGGCCACACUGGGACUGAGACACGGCCCAGACUCCUACGGGAGGCAGCAGUAGGGAAUCUUCCGCAAUGGACGAAAGUCUGACGGAGCAACGCCGCGUGAGUGAUGAAGGUUUUCGGAUCGUAAAGCUCUGUUGUUAGGGAAGAACAAGUGCGAGAGUAACUGCUCGCACCUUGACGGUACCUAACCAGAAAGCCACGGCUAACUACGUGCCAGCAGCCGCGGUAAUACGUAGGUGGCAAGCGUUGUCCGGAAUUAUUGGGCGUAAAGGGCUCGCAGGCGGUUUCUUAAGUCUGAUGUGAAAGCCCCCGGCUCAACCGGGGAGGGUCAUUGGAAACUGGGAAACUUGAGUGCAGAAGAGGAGAGUGGAAUUCCACGUGUAGCGGUGAAAUGCGUAGAGAUGUGGAGGAACACCAGUGGCGAAGGCGACUCUCUGGUCUGUAACUGACGCUGAGGAGCGAAAGCGUGGGGAGCGAACAGGAUUAGAUACCCUGGUAGUCCACGCCGUAAACGAUGAGUGCUAAGUGUUAGGGGGUUUCCGCCCCUUAGUGCUGCAGCUAACGCA